AUUGAACGCUGGCGGCAGGCCUAACACAUGCAAGUCGAGCGGAUGAAGGGAGCUUGCUCCUGGAUUCAGCGGCGGACGGGUGAGUAAUGCCUAGGAAUCUGCCUGGUAGUGGGGGAUAACGUCCGGAAACGGGCGCUAAUACCGCAUACGUCCUGAGGGAGAAAGUGGGGGAUCUUCGGACCUCACGCUAUCAGAUGAGCGUAGGUCGGAUUAGCUAGUUGGUGGGGUAAAGGCCUACCAAGGCGACGAUCCGUAACUGGUCUGAGAGGAUGAUCAGUCACACUGGAACUGAGACACGGUCCCGACUCCUACGGGAGGCAGCAGUGGGGAAUAUUGGACAGUGGGCGAAAGCCUGAUCCAACCAUGCCGCGUGUGUGAAGAAGGUCUUCGGAUUGUAAAGCACUUCAUGUUGGGAGGAAGGGCAGUAAGUUAAUACCUUGCUGUUUUGACGUUACCAACAGAAUAAGCACCGGCUAACUUCGUG
rnacentral:rRNA from 1 species